GCUGCCAUCUUCCCUUCCCACCCCGCCUCAUCCCGCCUCGGAUGUGCGUGUGGUACCGAGCCUUCCCCGGGGCGGACCCCGCCUCGCUGGCCGCCCGCGCGGUGCCUCCUCAGCCUGGCCCUUCGCCUGGAGGGGCGAGGACGAAGUCUCCUACGACCGCGAGGUCCGGUCUCUCGUUAAGACGCUAAGCCCGCGCUCCUGUGUUUAGGCUAAUGUCAGGACAAGCUGUUCUUUAAAGAUGGAAGUUACUAUGAGGGCAAGUUUGUCAGCGGAGAAAUUAUGGGGAAUGGAUUUCAAUACUAGGCAUCGACAGUUCAAGGGAACACUUAUUCCAGUCAGUUUGUGUUUGGAAAGCUCCAUGGAUGUAAAGUCUUGCAAUAUAAAGAUGGUAGGAAAUAUGAAGGAGAGUUUCUCUAUGGAAUGAGAGACGGAAUGAGGAUAAUUAUGAAGGAGCCUGGAUUCUAGACAAGUGUCAAGGUCAUGGAAUAUUGCCUUGUGCUGUUGGAACAAUAUAUGAGGGGCAGUGGAGAAAUGACAUAUUCAAUGAACAGGGUGCUAUAGUUAAUUGUUCUGGUGACAUCUGUGAUGGACUGUGGAUCAAUGGCUACCCUGCUGCCUGUAGAAGUUUUGGAAGAAACCAUGGUGGAGCAGGCGUUUCUGUGCAGCCCAUGAAGACUACAGCGGAACAGAUAUUCACACUGCAGCCCAUGGAGGCCCCCACGCCAGAGCAGGUGAAUAUUUCCUGAAGGAACUGCAGCCCAUGGAAAGCCCACACAGGAGCAGGUUCUCCUGACAGGAACUGUGGCCUGUGGAGAAGCUAUGCUGGAGCAGGGGAAAAAUGUGA